CCUUUCCUCUCAAAUGCUGCUGCGCCAUCCCUCCUUUGUCUGCUGAGGAGAGAGACACCGGCCGGUAUCGCAGCUCCUCUGCCCGUUGAUAUUUUCCGAACUAAAAAUAUCUUCUAAGACAACCCAAACCAAAUCAACACGGUUUAAUUUGGUUAGCGAGUGAGCUUUGAGUCCAUCGACAGCAAGAAAACCAAGCAACCGUGAGUCCGCCAUAGUCGAGCAUUAGCAAAGAAAGAAAAUCAAAAUGGAAGACAAAAAAUACCUCCCGGAGCUGCUGGCCGAGAAGGACAGCUUGGAUUCAUCGUUUACACACGCCAUGAAACUCAUCACCGCAGAGAUCGAGAGGAUCCAGAAAGGUGAAGCCAAGAAGACCCCAGAGAAGGAGACAUACCUGGACCUGUUUGCCACGAAAACUAUGAAACUGAAGGAGCGAGUACUCAUUCCAACCAAGCAGUAUCCCAGGGUCAACUUUGUGGGAAAGCUUUUAGGACCACAGGGCAGCACAAUCAAGAGACUCCAGGAGGAGACAGGGGCAAAGAUCUCGGUUUUGGGGAAAGGCUCCAUGAGAGACAAGAAUAAGGAGGAAGAACUUAGGAAGGGCGGUGAGUCAAAAUAUGCUCACCUGGCCAUGGAGCUGCAUGUGUUCAUUGAGGUUACAGCACCCAUACCAGAGGCUUAUCUGCGUAUGGCUCAUGCCAUGGAUGAAGUCAAGAAGUUCCUCAUCCCAGAGCCUGGCGAGCAUGACCCUUACAUGGAUCCUCAGUUCUUGAAUGGAUCCCAGGAUGGUUCUGGAAGAGGGCGGGGUGGUCUUGGAAGGGGUAGAGGUGGACCACCUGGUGCAGGAGGACCAAGGGGACGAGGGAUGCCACGUGGAACCCUCAGAGGAGCAAUGCGUGGAGGAGCACCACGAGGUGGACCAGCAGGAGGCAACGCACCCAGAGGCGCCCCUGCUGGUAGGGGUGGGCCACCCUCUGCUCCUGCUAGAGGAGGGUCUGCUGCCCGCUCCAGGCCACCUUCAGCCGGUGCUCCAAGGAUGCUCCCUGCUGCAGCACUGUCUCAUCAAGCAGGUCCUUCAGGAUCACAGCCCAAAGCUGACGCUUAUGAUGAAUAUGGUUCAUAUGAGGAGCCUUAUGCAGAGCCUGCCUAUGAGGGAUAUGAUGGCUAUUACAGUCAGCAGCAUGCUCCUGCGGAUACUGAAUACUAUGAUUAUGGACACGGUGAAGCCCAGGAUCCAUCAUAUGAGGGCUAUGGUCAAGGUGACUGGGACAAUUCGUGGUCCAACUCUGGCGCUGGAGGCAAAGCUCCCUUAACGCGGCAGACGAAGGGAUCAUACAGGGAGCAUCCAUACGGCAGAUACUGAACAACUACCGGUAGAGAGUUGCUAUGGCAACUGUCUCCGAUUGUAACAGGCUUAACUUUUCAAAAAGUUGUCAGCACUCUUGGUGCAGUUGAUAGAUUCAGGUCCAGCGGCUCGGGCCUGUAAGGUCCAUUGAACCUGCAAGGUUUCCUUGAUGGGAUAUUUGGACCAAAUGGUGUCCAAGGGAAUUAGUCUGGUUUGAUAAUUCCCGUAUUUUACGGUUUCUAUGAAGGAAGUAUCGAAUGGCUUUUUUAAAUUAACUGGAUGUAUGUUUUAUUUUUUAUAAAUGUCUAGUUUUUUUAAUGUUUUGCAAUGCAUUUAACCACAUUUUGUAUUUAAAAAAAAAAAAAACUCAAAAUAAAAAGCUCUUUUUUUUUUUACCAGUUGUAUUUAUUUAGGUUUUUUUUUUUGUUUUUUUUAAGGAUGACCAGAUGUACAAUUUUGUAUUAUCGUUACAUAAAGUAAACGUUUUAGAGUGGUAUAGUCAAAGUCCAGUCUACUCUGAUUUGGAUUACUGUGGUAUUUUCAUGUAUUAAAACCUUCCAGUGUGGCUGAAAUUAAUCCACAGCAAUGUAAGACAAACUGUCUUACAUAAACCUCUGAUGGCAAUUGUUGCUGCCAAGGGUGGGACAACCAGGUGCUGGCCUGACUUCUUCAAUGAAGCUAUGAUUUGGAUCAUGCUGCUUGUAUUUGAUCAGGUUAUUUUAAUUAUGCCAUGCAAAAAGAAAAUUUGUGUCAGGUGAAUACUAAUUCCCUCAGCACUGUACAUAUUAACUUUCAUGGGAUUUUAAUGUGUUUUCAGUGAGGCAGCAUGUAUUUCUGGGGUUCAUAAAAUAUUUUUUAGGUUCUGAUAAUCAUGUAAUAACAGCAUGGGAAUCUGGAAAUAUUUUUGAGUUUCCAAAUUAAAUCACUUGUUCACAGAAAACCACAGGUUUGGCCCAUAAGUGUAUAAUCUGUAUUUUUAUAAUCAAAACAAUAAAAAGUUAAUUCCU